rnacentral:rRNA from 15 species
AACUUUCAACAACGGAUCUCUUGGCUCUCGCAUCGAUGAAGAACGCAGCGAAAUGCGAUAAGUAAUGUGAAUUGCAGAAUUCAGUGAAUCAUCGAAUCUUUGAACGCACCUUGCGCCCUUUGGUAUUCCGAAGGGCAUGCCUGUUUGAGUGUCA